ACAAGGCUCGAGCCUCCAUGGACAAGUCCGACCCUACUCGUGAUCCUGACGACAUCGAUCUCGACGCCGGCGCUAAGGCGUCGUCGGAUGAAAUCGACCCUGCAGCUGCCUCCUCCUCCUCCUCAGCGGCCCCCUCUGAUUGAUUAAUCCUGCCAUCCAAAACUACCAAUAAGUUGCUUAUUCCCCUCUACAUAUUCCUACGAGUUAGAUCUGAUAUUGUUUUUUAUUGCUUCAAAUUUCUGGAUUGGUAUAGAUUUGAAUCUGUGUUCUCUUAAUUUGUUGAAUCAAACUUAUAGUUUUGAAAUUUCGCAUUAAGAUUUUUAAACCCUGUUCGACGAUUACGAAUUGAUAAAAAUAUCGGUGAUAUCAAACGAGCGUAAACAGAAUCGAUUCAUCAAAAUCAUAUGAUAUGAUUUACAUGCUUACCAAUCUGUCUAUGGAGUUAAUGCAAGCAUCCGGCAACAACCAAGCUGUUAAUCAUUAUGUAAAGCAUGUGUUGUGGCCGGCAUAGGUCCAUCCGGAGAUCUAUCUAAUUCAUUAAUGAAGAAGAUAAUGAUCCUUUAAAACAAUGAACAUGUAUCAUCACUUAUUAUCCAUGCCCUACAAUGGAACAACUCUUUUUAUAUGUUUGUUUCUUAGUUAAUGAAAACUUACAAAAAAAAAAAACAUAAUCAUAAAACACAAAUCCAAUGAUACCCAUAAGAAUUGUUUGGUUUACAUAUUGAAAAUGAUUAUUAAAUGGUUUAAGAAUCAACAAUUUGGAUAUUUAUCUUUGGAUUUUGUUUAGUAGGAUGCAAUUGAAUAAUUAAAGAUGGUAAUGGUAAUGGAAUAGAUCAUCACAUUUUAUGUCAUCUUUAGUGGACCCGAUGAAAUUGGGCAUUCAAAUAUUUCUUUGUUAUAAAAAAAAACAAAGUAAACUGAAUCAAAAUGAUAAAUAAAGAAAAAUAAUAGUAAUAAUUUAUAAUA
rnacentral:lncRNA from 1 species